rnacentral:rRNA from 1 species
CCUACGGGUGGCAGCAGUGAGGAAUAUUGGUCAAUGGGCGGGAGCCUGAACCAGCCAAGUCGCGUGAGGGAAGAAGGUACUGAGUAUUGUAACCUCUUUUGCCAGGGGACAAAGGCGGCCACGGGUGGCCGUAAGAGGGUACCUGGGGAAAAAGCAUUGGCCAACCUCGUGCCAGGGGCCGAGGUUAUACGGAGGAUGCGAGCGUUUGCCGGAUUUAUUGGGUUUUAAGGGUGCGCAGGCGGCGUGUCAAGGCAGCGGGAAAAUGUCGGGGCUCAACCCCGGCCGGCCGUUGAAACUGGCGUGCUCGAGUUGGAGAGAAGUAUGCGGAAUUCGUGGUGUAGCGGUGAAAUGCAUAGAUAUCACGAAGAACCCCGAGUGCGAAGGCAGCAUACCGGCUCCACACUGACGCUGAGGCACGAAAGCGUGGGUAUCGAACAGGAUUAGAUACCCCAGUAGUC